rnacentral:rRNA from 1 species
AGCGAACGCUGGCGGCAGGCUUAACACAUGCAAGUCGAGCGGAUGUAGCAAUACAUCAGCGGCAGACGGGAGAGUAACACGUGGGAACGUACCCUUCAGUUCGGAACAACCCAGGGAAACUUGGGCUAAUACCGGAUACGUCCGUAAGGAGAAAGAUUUAUCGCUGAGGGAUCGGCCCGCGUCUGAUUAGCUAGUUGGUGAGGUAACGGCUCACCAAGGCGACGAUCAGUAGCUGGUCUGAGAGGAUGAUCAGCCUCACUGGGACUGAGACACGGCCCAGACUCCUACGGGAGGCAGCAGUGGGGAAUAUUGGACAAUGGGCGCAAGCCUGAUCCAGCCAUGCCGCGUGGGUGAUGAAGACCCUAGGGUUGUAAAGCCCUUUCGGCGGGGAAGAUAAUGACGGUACCCGCAGAAGAAGCACCGGCCAACUACGUGCCAGCCGCCGCGGUAAC